rfam:Picea glauca, whole genome shotgun sequence.
GGGUGCGAUCAUAUCAACGUUAAUGCACCGGAUCCCAUCAGAACUCUGCAGUUAAGUGUGCUUGGGCUAGAGUAGUAUUGGGAUGGGUGACCUCCCGAGAAGUCCUAGUGUUGCACCCU